rnacentral:rRNA from 1 species
UACGGGGGGGGGCAAGCGUUGUUCGGAAUUACUGGGCGUAAAGGGCUCGUAGGCGGCCAACUAAGUCAGACGUGAAAUCCCUCGGCUUAACCGGGGAACUGCGUCUGAUACUGGAUGGCUUGAGUGUGGGAGAGGAAUGCGGAAUUCCAGGUGUAGCGGUGAAAUGCGUAGAUAUCAGGAGGAACACCGAUGGCGAAGGCAGGUCUCUGGGCCACUACUGACGCUGAGAAGCGAAAGCAUGGGGGAGCGAACAGG